UUGUUCUGUGCUAUUCAGUCAGGUAAUGGCGUACGCGGUUUUGUUUCGCUUUUCGUGGUAUUUCGUUCGUGUUUUUUGCAAUUUAUUAAUUAAAUAAUUAAUUUCGAGUAAUUGUUUCGGUAUCUUAUUCAUCAAUUAAACUAUUCAAUCCAUCGGUAAACUUGUUGGAAUCGGUAACUCUUCGUAUAACGAGUCUCUGUCUUCGGUCUUCUACCAGUUCACCGGAAACCGGAUUAAGACAUAAAUAUCAGUUCAGCUGUGAAUUGUGAUCGAUCUUCGCGUGUUACGAUCGUUUCUAUCGAACUUCUAUAACUGAUCCGAAUCUGUUCGUCGAACUUCUGCGUUCUUCGUUGAUGCUCUGUUAGUUUCUGCGUUGUAUUGUGUUAUUCGAAAACACUCGAUCGGAUCCGUCGAAGUACAGUUUCAGUGUUUUUUGAAUCAUUCAUAGUCGUUGGAAAUUCGUCGAUUCAUGUUAUUUCGUAUUCAAUAUUGAGG